rnacentral:lncRNA from 1 species
CAAUGAUGAUGAAAUUAGAAAGGAAGACAAGAACAACAAGGUUGUGGAAUUCAGAAGCCAUAUAGACAAGAGACCACUAGAGAUUAGAAAAUUGUUCUCUGGGGUAUCUGACCACUUCCAGAGGAAAGACAUAAAGAUGCUGAUGUCAAGAAUGACCCAACUAAACGGCCCAGCCAGAUGACCCAGUUGAAGCUGGUGGACAAGAAGUUUCAUUCAUGGAAUCAGAACUUCCAAUAAGCUGGGAAAACGGCAAUGGAUUAAUAACAAGAAAUUAAUGGUGAAGUGGUGACGAAAAUUCUACAUUGCUUAGAAAGCAAAUAGUGAAAUGAACAUUUACAUUCUGGCAACCUCAGAAGUACAACGAACAGAGGACACCAGCCAGGUAGGGCAAAGGCCUGUGCGCCCCCUUUUGCUGUUACAUGUUUAUCAGAUGCGUGCUCUGUUUCUGUUGUAUUACAUUACUUUUCUCUUCAAUGUCUACUGAGGAAGAACAAGUAGCUCCUCAGGCAAGUCAACUGUUAACUCUGCAGUUUUUAUUUAAUCUCCCAGGAAUGUAACCCUUAACUUUAAAGAAUGUAGUGACCAUAAAACUUAUAAGGCAUGUUUCUUAAGGAAAUUGUACCUGUUUAUUUAAUCUAUCAGAUAUGAAUGUUAUAGAAAAUUAAAUUUGUCCACUUAAGCUGUAGAUGAACUUUUCACCUUUCUGAUCAGAAAUUCACCAUUUUAUAGUAUAGGUUCUGUUAUUAAUCAGAAUAUUUCAUUUAGACUCUUUCUAUCCAACUUUUUCUUAGAGGCUAUUCAAAAUAAAGGUGCUUCUAACAGUUUCAUAUCGAAAUACGAUGCAAAGCCUUGCUCUUCCAUGGUAUCCUUUGAGUGAGCCAAACUUAUUUAGCCAUUCCCCUAUAGUUAAAUAGCUAGGAUGUUUCCAACAUCUCACCUUUAAAACAAUAGUGCUAUGAAUGUCAUAAAUGUUUGUAUAUGUAAAUAUGUAGGAUAAAUCCCUAUCAGUAGAAUUUCAAAAGGUAUACGCAAUCAGUAUUUUCAUACAUAUUUAAAAUUUUCCAUCCAUACAAAGGUUGCUAACAUAUUUAUUUAAAAUUUUAAAAAUAAUUUUAUAUGCCUCUUGUAACCAGUAAUAGGAUGCAAAGUUUUUGUUUUAAGGUAACAUUGCUCCUCUUCCCCCAUUGUCUCUGUCAUCUAUAGUACUCCCUAAGGUAGUUCAUGUUAUUGCAAGGGUGUGUAUCAUCCCAAACAUAUUGCUUCCACAUACAUAUAUCAGCAUACAUAUAUAUAUAUGUAUAGCAUAUAUAUAUAUGAGCACAUAUUAAUAUAUGCCCAUGCACAUACAAGCAUGUUUUUGUUAAUUUUUACUGAAAUGGAAUCAUGCUACAUACUUAUGAACAAAUUGCUUCUUUCACCUUAUAUCACUUAUAAUUGUUAUUCUACAAAUCAGUACAUAUAAAAAAUACAUAUUUACAUAUGUAAUACUCUAUCUGUUAUAAUUUUCUGCAUGCACAUGUAUGCAUAUACAUAUAUUCAUAAACAUAAAAAUCUAAACGGGAUUUUUUUGGG